CCCCUAGAUGUUCUGGGCCGCACGCGCGCUACACUGAACAGUUCGACAAGUCUUAACCUUGGCCGAUAGGUCUGGGUAAUCUUUGAACGCUGUUCGUGAUUGGGAUAGACCUUUGCAAUUAUGGGUCUUCAACGAGGAAUUCCUAGUAAACGCAAGUCAUCAGCUUGCAUUGAUUACGUCCCUGCCCUUUGUACACACCGCCCGUCGCACCUACCGAUUGAAUGGUCCGGUGAAAUCUCGGGACGGCGGCUCGGUCGCUUGCGUCCGACUGCUGAAACUUGAUUAAACCAUAUCAUUUAGAGGAAGGUGAAGUCGUAACA
rnacentral:rRNA from 1 species